rnacentral:lncRNA from 1 species
GGGACUUGGAGGCGGACAGCGGAGGGUCUUCCGCAGCGAGGGGACGUGAUUGGUGGCCCUGCUGAGGGGCAGACAGUGGCUGAGGGUUUCUAGGGAGAAGGCGCUCCGGAGGUGGAGCCCAAGGGGCGGGAAGUCCGGGGACGCCAGGAGAGCGUGUUGCAGCGUGGCGUGGGAGCUGCAGAGGAAGGGGUUAGGGAAGGUGGAGACACUGAAAACUGAACAUUGGCAUUUGGUUCACUUUAGUGUUUGCAAUCCAAGUAUUGAAUCAAAAUCAAACAGAGAAUAGGAUUCCUUAAGGC